rnacentral:rRNA from 1 species
CAAGCGGUGGAUGAUGUGGUUUAAUUCGAUGCAACGCGAAAAACCUUACCUACCCUUGACAUGUCUGGAAUCCUGCAGAGAUGUGGGAGUGCUCGAAAGAGAACCAGAACACAGGUGCUGCAUGGCCGUCGUCAGCUCGUGUCGUGAGAUGUUGGGUUAAGUCCCGCAACGAGCGCAACCCUUGUCAUUAGUUGCUACGAAAGGGCACUCUAAUGAGACUGCCGGUGACAAACCGGAGGAAGGUGGGGAUGACGUCAGGUCCUCAUGGCCCUUAUGGGUAGGGCUACACACGUCAUACAAUGGCCGGUACAGAGGGCUGCCAACCCGCGAGGGGGAGCUAAUCCCAUAAAACCGGUCGUAGUCCGGAUCGCAGUCUGCAACUCGACUGCGUGAAGUCGGAAUCGCUAGUAAUCGCGGAUCAGCUUGCCGCGGUGAAUACGUUCCCGGGUCUUGUACACACCGCCCGUCACACCAUGGGAGCGGGUUCUGCCAGAAGUAGUUAGCCUAACCGCAAGGAGGGCGAUUACCACGGCAGGGUUCGUGACUGGGGUGAAGUCGUAACAAGGUAGCCGUAUCGGAAGGUGCGGCUGGAUCACCUCCUU